GGAUUCCCUUAGUACGGGCGACGGAAGCGGGAAAAGCCCACACUGGUAAUCUCCGUGCGUUAGUACGGCGAAUUGUAAUCUGAAGAGUUGAUGUCAUGGCCAGGAGGAGACGCAGAAGUGUCCACGAGCGGACCGCCAAAGAGGGUGAGAGCCCCGUCUGUAGUGUUUUCUUCAGUCUGAUAUCGGCCCAAAGAGUCGUGUACCUUGAUACUGGUGCACCAAGCGGGAGAUAAACUUCUUCUAAGGCUAAAUAUAAGUAGGAAACCGAUAGCGAACAAGUACUGUGAAGGAAAGAUGAAAAGCACUUUGGAAAGAAAGUUAAAAGACCUGAAAUCGUUGAGGCGGAAGCGGUAGAAAUGAAUUCUUCGCCAUGGUAGGUGGGAAGCCUGCGGUCGCGGGUUACUUCUUGCCUGGCGUGAGACAAGAUGGAGUCGGCAGGUGCCAGAGACGCUGUGGCCGGACCUCACGGUCUAGCCAUAGUGGCCGGGUAGCCAGCCGGCUUGAGGGGCUUUGUGCGAUCUUGUCAAAAUGGUUUUUACCGACCCGUCUUGAAACACGGACCAAGGAGUCUAAGACUAGCGCGAGUGUGGUGGUGGAGAAACCAACACGCGAAAUGAAAGUAAAUGGUGCCAACUUCGGUGCAGCACCGACCGACCAUGAUCCACUGGUGAAAGGUUUGAGUAAGAGCGUUAUUCUUAGGACCCGAAAGAUGGUGAACUAUGCCUGUGUAGGGUGAAGUCAGGGGAAACUCUGAUGGAGGCUCGUAGCGAUACUGACGUGCAAAUCGUUCGUCGAACAUGGGUAUAGGGGCGAAAGACUAAUCGAACCAUCUAGUAGCUGGUUCCCGCCGAAGUUUCCCUCAGGAUAGCUGGGACAACCACGCAGUUUUAUUAGGUAAAGCGAAUGAUUAGAGGCAUCGGGGACGGAAUGUCCUUGACCUAUUCUCAAACUUUAAAUUGGUAAGAACUCCUGUCUUUCUUAAGUGAAGCGGGAGGUUCAAUGCGUGUCCUUAGUGGGCCAUUUUUGGUAAGCAGAACUGGCGAUGAGGGAUGCUCCUAACGUCGGGUUAAGGUGCCAAACUACACGCUCAUCAGAAACUACAAAGGGUGUUAGUUCAUCCAGACAGCAGGACGGUGGCCAUGGAAGUCGGAAUCCGCUAAGGAGUGUGUUACAACUCACCUGCCGAAUGAACUAGUCCCGAAAAUGGAUGGCGCUAAAGCGUGUGACCGAUACCCGACCAUUGGUGCGAGAGUGAGGCAUCAAUGAGUAGGCGGGCGUGAGCGUCGUAGCGAAGCCUCUGGCGUGAGCCUGGGUUGAACGGCGUUUAGUGCAGAUCUUGGUGGUAGUAGCAAUUAUUCAAAUGAGAACUUUGAAGGCCGAAGUGGAGAAGGUUUCCGUGAGAACAGCAAUUGGUCACGGGUGACUCGAUCCUAAGACAUGGGGGAAAUCCUUGUUAAGUGUGCGCUAGCACGUAGUCGAAAGGGAAUGAGGUUAAUAUUCCUCAAGCGGGAUGUGGGCGUUAAAUGGUAACAUAAACGAACUUAGAGACGCCGGCGUGAGCCUCUGGAAGAGUUGUCUUUUCUUUUUAACAGACUAGCGCCCCUGAAAUUGGUUUACCCAGAGAUAGGGGGGCAUGUCUGGAAGAGCACCUUGCGUUUCGAGGUGUCAGGUGCGCUCAUGACGGUCCGUGAAAAUCUAAGUGAGAUA
rnacentral:rRNA from 1 species